ensembl:lncRNA
UCUGAAAUGAAGACUGUGAAUGAGAAAUUAACAGUGGAAAACCAAGAGCUGCGUGCUCGAAUUGCAGAAGCAUGUGAGAAGUUGUCAGCCAGGGAGCAGGAAGCAAAAAGUCGUGAGAAUAAAUUGCAACUUCAGCUCGACCGGGCAUGGCGUUUGAACAAUUCUUUGACGGCACAGAUGGACGGAAGAAAAACGGAGAUGGGGGAACAACAGGAAAGGAUUAAGGCAAUACAGGAAGAGAAAGCAAGUGUCUCUGAGAGGUUCCAACAACUGCAGAUAGAUCAUGAGGCUGAAUUGAAGGAAAGGGACAAAACUCUGUGUGAACUAAAUGAGUUGGUGAAUAUGACUGGACAAGAAACCAUUAGCCUCAAUGAGAAAGUAAGAAUCUUAGAAGAUGACAAAUGGUUAUUUCAGGAAAAGCUGGAAAAUGCCCAAGAGAUGGCUGACAAAGUAAAGAAUGAGAAUGAGUGUAUGGUGACUGUACUCCUCAAAAAUUCAGAGAGAGUUAAGGAGUUGACUCAAAUGGUGAGUGUAGUACAGGCACACAAUUCCCAUCUAAUGACACAGCUAACAGAGAAUAAAGAGGAAAAAGGCAAGAGACGCUUAGUGAGCUGUGCGUCUGGAGAAGAUCAGGUACAGCAUGAGCUGGAACAUAAAAAGGAACUCUUUCAAUCUCAGAUGAAUGAGAAAGAAGGGGAAUCGGGGAAAAUAAUUGAGCAACAUAGGGAAAAGCUAGUGGAACUCCAGGAUCAGCCGUGCCAACAAAAGCAGCAUCUCCAGCAGACUGCACAGGAGCUCGAGCAGCUUUGCAAGGAUGCUCGGCAGAGCUCUCUCAUGGACAUGGAGUUGGCAGACUAUGAGCGCCUUGUAAAAGAGCUUAACAUCCAGAUAUCAGAGAAAGACACUCAGAUUGAGGAUCUGAAAAAGCAGCUACUGACCCAGAAAAAUAAAGUUCUGGAGGGCGAGGCCCAGUAUUUAUUUGAGAAUGGCCUGACUAAACUGGUCCACAGUGGUUUUACACCUCAUAGGGAAGAGGUCCAUUUGGCAGGGACUAAUGCGUUGUCCCACGCUCCAGAUGUGGGGAUAAGUUGUGUGGUGUUAUUGCUUGCCUGCCUAACUAUUUUAUCUCCUCUCCGGUCUCCUCCCCUGUCCCUCUUAGACUGCUUUUCCAGGCCCACUGGGAUUGCUGAGGGGAAAAUAGGUUGUGUGACUGGUGAGCUGGAUGAAUGGUGAGCAUGUGAGUGAAUAGGUGGAUAGGUGAAUAGGUGAAUAGGUGAAUAGGUGAAUAGGUGAAUAGGUGAAUAGGUGAAUAGGUGACUAGGUGAGCUGGAUGAAUGGGGAGCAUGUGAGUGAAUGGGUGAAUAGGUGAAUAGGAAGGUUUAGGUAAAUGGGGGUUUUGUAUGGUGCAGAAUCCCACUUAGGUGGGCUUCUGUCUUAAGGGGGGGGAUGUUACGACCCUGGCGGGUCCAGGCCCCGCCCCAUGAGAUUUGCAUGCCUGUUUUCUAUCUGUCGUUAUAACAGGUAAUUGGAUCCAGGUGUAUGGGUGAUUGGCUGGGCUACAAAAGCCCUGCUCAGAUGGAAGUCGGGAGAGCGUUGGAUUGGUCGUUGGAUUUUGGUUAUCGUUGGAUUUGGAUAGUGAAUUGGAUUUGGGAUUGUUGUUGUCGUUGUCUUUGGAUUAUCGUCGUUUGUUUAUAUUACCAGUUAAUUGACUUUACAGUACAUCUUUUGUUUCUCUUCACAACACUGAUCUUCACCACACGUUUGCUAUAAUUAUUAGAUAAUUAUAUAAACUUGUAAAAUCAUUAAUAAAUAUAUUAUUAUUACUAUAAAUAUCCU